GGGGCUGUGGCUCAGUGGUAGAGACUCUGAUCAGCAUGCAGGAGGUCCCAGGUUCAAUUCCCGGCAAUCUCC
rnacentral:tRNA from 1 species